rnacentral:piRNA from 1 species
CACUGUCUCUAUUAGAAGUAAAUUUGAAUGU